rnacentral:rRNA from 1 species
CGCCUGUUUAUCAAAAACAUGGCUCCCUGUAAUUCAUCAAAUAGGGAGUCGGACCUGCCCAGUGAAUUUUUCAACGGCCGCGGUACUCUGACCGUGCAAAGGUAGCAUAAUCAUUUGCCUUAUAACUGAAGGCUAGUAUGAAUGGUUUGACAAGAAUGUGACUGUCUCUUUGUAAUUAAUUAGAAUUUUAUUUCCAGGUGAAGAAGCCUGUAUAUAAUUGAAAGACAAGAAGACCCUAUCGAGCUUAAAAAAAGUUAAUAAGCGUAAUUUUUAAUAAGGUAUUAAUAUUGUUCAUUAAAAAUUUUAGUUGGGGCGACUGAGGAACAAAUAAAGCUUCCUUUGAUAGUUUAAAUUGAAACAAACAAGUAGUGAUCCAAAAAUUUUGAUUAAAGGAAUUAGUUACGUAGGGAUAACAGCAUUAUCCUCUUUGAGAGUUCGUAUCGAAAAGAGGGUUUGUGACCUCGAUGUUGGACCAGAAUAUCCUGAAGAUGCAGCCGUCUUUAAGGGUUGGUCUGUUCGACCAUUAAAAUUCUACGUGAUCUGAGUUCAGACCGG